AACGAACGCUGGCGGCAGGCUUAACACAUGCAAGUCGAACGCCCCGCAAGGGGAGUGGCAGACGGGUGAGUAACGCGUGGGAACACACCCUUUUCUACGGAAUAGCUCUGGGAAACUGGAAUUAAUACCGUAUACGCCCUACGGGGGAAAGAUUUAUCGGGGAAGGAUUGGCCCGCGUUGGAUUAGCUAGUUGGUGGGGUAAAGGCCUACCAAGGCGACGAUCCAUAGCUGGUCUGAGAGGAUGAUCAGCCACAUUGGGACUGAGACACGGCCCAAACUCCUACGGGAGGCAGCAGUGGGGAAUAUUGGACAGUGGGCGCAAGCCUGAUCCAGCCAUGCCGCGUGAGUGAUGAAGGCCUUAGGGUUGUAAAGCUCUUUCACCGAUGAAGAUAAUGACGGUAGUCGGAGAAGAAGCCCCGGCUAACUUCGUGCCAGCCGCCGCGGUAAAAC
rnacentral:rRNA from 1 species